GAGAGAGAGAGAGGCACACUCAUUUUGUCACUCUCUCUGAAACAAACACACAACAAACUCCUUCGAUUCCGUUACUUCUUAUGUUCGAAAAACCCUAGCGAAACCCUCUCAUUCUGUAAUAGUAUAACAAAUUUCAGAGUAAGAACAAAAAAUUUCAACCAAUCAUGAACCGUCAAGUUUUACCACCGUUACCGAAAAAUGCAAGUUCACUCGAACCUAAAAUCUGGCGAGCAAUCGCCGGCGCCGCCGUUCAAAUCCCCGCCGUUAAUUCUAGGGUUUA
rnacentral:lncRNA from 1 species